GAAGGGAGCUUGCUCCCGGAUGUUAGCGGCGGACGGGUGAGUAACACGUGGGUAACCUGCCUGUAAGACUGGGAUAACUCCGGGAAACCGGAGCUAAUACCGGAUAGUUCCUUGAACCGCAUGGUUCAAGGAUGAAAGACGGUUUCGGCUGUCACUUACAGAUGGACCCGCGGCGCAUUAGCUAGUUGGUGAGGUAACGGCUCACCAAGGCGACGAUGCGUAGCCGACCUGAGAGGGUGAUCGGCCACACUGGGACUGAGACACGGCCCAGACUCCUACGGGAGGCAGCAGUAGGGAAUCUUCCGCAAUGGACGAAAGUCUGACGGAGCAACGCCGCGUGAGUGAUGAAGGUUUUCGGAUCGUAAAGCUCUGUUGUUAGGGAAGAACAAGUGCAAGAGUAACUGCUUGCACCUUGACGGUACCUAACCAGAAAGCCACGGCUAACUACGUGCCAGCAGCCGCGGUAAUACGUAGGUGGCAAGCGUUGUCCGGAAUUAUUGGGCGUAAAGGGCUCGCAGGCGGUUUCUUAAGUCUGAUGUGAAAGCCCCCGGCUCAACCGGGGAGGGUCAUUGGAAACUGGGAAACUUGAGUGCAGAAGAGGAGAGUGGAAUUCCACGUGUAGCGGUGAAAUGCGUAGAGAUGUGGAGGAACACCAGUGGCGAAGGCGACUCUCUGGUCUGUAACUGACGCUGAGGAGCGAAAGCGUGGGGAGCGAACAGGAUUAGAUACCCUGGUAGUCCACGCCGUAAACGAUGAGUGCUAAGUGUUAGGGGGUUUCCGCCCCUUAGUGCUGCAGCUAACGCAUUAAGCACUCCGCCUGGGGAGUACGGUCGCAAGACUGAACUCAAAGGAAUUGACGGGGGCCCGCACAAG
rnacentral:rRNA from 1 species